UACGUAGGGGGCAAGCGUUGUCCGGAAUUAUUGGGCGUAAAGAGCGCGUAGGCGGUCCGAUAAGUCGGCUGUGAAAGUCAGGGGCUCAACCCUUGAAAGCCGGCCGAUACUGUCGGACUAGAGUCCGGAAGAGGCGAGUGGGAAUUCCCGGUGUAGCGGUGAAAUGCGCAGAUAUCGGGAGGAACACCAAUGGCGAAGGCAGCUCGCUGGGACGUUACUGACGCUCAUGCACGAAAGCGUGGGGAGCAAACAGG
rnacentral:rRNA from 1 species